GGCCCGGCUCUUGCUAUCGGAUAAGCAUCGGUAACCAACGGCGGUUGCCCCACCCACGACAAAGACGUCGC
rfam:Pseudomonas sp. ABAC61 scaffold14_001, whole genome shotgun sequence.